CGCAGAACCUCCCCCGAUCCUGCGUGUCCCGUGCUCCUCUCCGAGACCCCGGUCGCCCCAGCGUCCGCAGCAGUCCUGGAAAAAUGUUUAUUUGUGUAGCAAAGCAGGGAGCGGGGCGGCGGGGCUACUUCUUCUUUUUCUUGGCCGCCUUGAGCUUCCCCUCGAUUAGCCGCUGCGCCUGCCUCUUGAUCUCGGCGCGCGAAGGGACGUAGCUGUGGUCCAUGUCGGGGAACUGGAAGGUGUCUGCGGGCGGAGGCGGCGGCUCGCACACGGGGCUAGCCCAGCUAGGCGCAGCCGCCCGACCCGCCUCUCGCCCCCGCCCUCCACCGACCCGGGCCAGGUGCCUUGCCCCAGGGACAGCCCCAGCGUGCCGGGAGG
rnacentral:lncRNA from 1 species